rnacentral:rRNA from 1 species
UUCUAGGUAGAAUUAUGAUAAUGACAUUGUCUGCCUAUGUGUCUUGACCAAAUUACGUGCCAGCAGUCGCGGUAAUACGUAGAAGACUAGUGUUAUUCAUGUUUAAUCGGUUUAAAGGGUACCUAGACGGUAAAUCAAGCCUAAAAAAAAAUAAUUGAAGGGACUAAUUUGCUAGAGUUACUUAUGAGGGGGUAUUAAAGUACUGCUGGUGUAGAGAUGAAAUUCUGUCAUACCUCUUUUCAAUAGAAAAACAAUGGCACAGGUAUAGGCGAAAGCAUCCCCUUAUGUGAUAACUGACGUUGAGGGACGAAGGCUUUGUGUAGCGAACAGGAUUAGAUACCCCAGUAGUCAAAGCAGAAAAUGAUGAAUGUCAUAGAUUAGAUAUAUAAGUUUAUUCUAUAAAUGAAAGUGUAAGCAUUCCACCUCAAGAGUAAUUUGGCAACAUUGGAACUGAAAUCAUUAGACCGUUUCUGAAACCAGUAGUGAAGUAUGUUGUUUAAUUUGAUGAUCCGCAAAAAACCUUACCACAAUUUGAAUAUUUAUAUCUAUUAUUGUUUUUUCUUCUUAUUUUUUAAUUAAAAACAAUAAUUAAGAAGAAAAAUAAGAAAAAGAGGCAAUAAGAUAUAUUUACAAGCGUUGCACGGCUGUCUUCAGUUAAUGUCGCGAGACUUUGGUUAGUUCCAUUAAAUUAACGUAAACCCUUACUUUAUUUUUAUAUAGAGUAGUUCCCCGCUAUAUUGGAUAUGAUAACAGGGACUAAGACAAGUCAUCAUGGCCUAAAUAUUGUGGGCUAUAGACGUGCCACGUAAGCCUUACAAAAGGGUGUGAAAUUGCG